GACGUAGGGCGCGAGCGUUGUCCGGAUUUAUUGGGCGUAAAGAGCUCGUAGGCGGCUUGUUGCGUCGGCUGUGAAAUCCCGUGGCUUAACUGCGGGCUUGCAGCUGAUACGGGCGGGCUGGAGUUCGGUAGGGGAGACUGGAAUUCCUGGUGUAGCGGUGAAAUGCGCAGAUAUCAGGAGGAACACCGGUGGCGAAGGCGGGUCUCUGGGCCGAUAUUGACGCUGAGGAGCGAAAGCGUGGGGAGCAAACAGG
rnacentral:rRNA from 1 species